GGGCCUGCUGAUUGAUAUUACCAAGAUACUCUCUCAAAAUUUUGUUUCCAAGUUAUAUAUGCCCCUAGCACUCGUUGAUGGAAAGGUUUGCAGUUCAUUUGGUAACAGUGUAAGAAAACACAAAGUCCACAUUAGUUUGAGCUUAGCGUUGAAGCGAGAUGGAUAUGUUCUUAAGAAUAAGCAUAUUUUUGAAAUAAAUGUAAUAUAUUCCUGUCACAAAGUUCAGAGACC
rnacentral:lncRNA from 1 species